GCGAAAAUAUUCGAUUCAAUAUCCUCUCUCUCUGCCGACAACUUUUGUCCAUAUUCUGUGUCACGAGUUUCAUCAUGCUCACAAUUUUGAUUCCUUUUUGCUUUUUGCACCUUUAUCAGUAAACAUCGAAGAACAUUAGAGAGAGAAAGAGAGGAAAAGGGAGACAAAUUUGGAGGAAGAAACGGGUAUGGGGGGAUUGGGAAGUAAAGCUUAUGCUAUGCUAUUGUUGAAUCCAUCCAUAACCAAAGCAUAGCAAAAUAUGGUGUUUCUUCCCUACACCUCCCAUACCACUUUUUUCCUCUAUUUCUCCCCCUUCCUCCUCCUUCUGCUGCAUAUUCAUCUCAGAUCUCCUUCUUUUCUCAUCUGGUAAUGUUAUCCCUAUUUUCUCUCCUCUAUUAUCUCAUCAAAUUUUUAUCAAUUAUUUUUAAUCAUGUUUCCAAUAUUAAAAGAUUCAUUGGUUGCAAAUUUCGUUAGAUCUAUAUCAGAAAAGUAUGAACCGAUUUACCAUAGUUUAGAUCUAGACAAGUUUGGUUCAAGUUCUUGUUUAACAAAUUAUACCAAUCAAUUAAACAGCCAUUUGUCUGGGUAUGAGUACUUUAACCACAGUAGAUUCAUAUUGUUGUAUACAAUUUUACCAUCUAUACAUCAUUCACAGAUGCAAAUUGUUCUGAAACUCAAAAAGUUUGAUCUCUCUUCAAUCAACAAGCGUCACUUUCUGAUAUUGAAAAAGGUUUGUUGAAAUUUUCUAAUUUGAAGUCUGAGAUAAUUUUCACGAUAAAAUUAAUUUUUGAUUCUUCGUUUGUUUCAAUCGCCCCUAAUUUAUCCGUGUGAUGUUAAAAAUUGGCUAUGGUUCAACAACUCUUUCAUACUACAGCAGUUGAAGCAGUUGAAUCCAAGAAGAGCAAAAUCAAGAACGCUCAUCAAAGCGCUUACCCCUAACGCUCCUUUCUCCUUUUUCCAUGUCACCCACUGAAUCUUUCUCUCCCUACGAUCACCACCACCCAAAAGAAAAACUUUUAAACAGUGAUCCCAUUAAUUCUCAUUUAGUUAAUUUGUUGCUAUUUUUCUUCAAAGUUAGAUAUAUUUGUUUUGAUUGUUCCUAAAUUUGAAAUAUUAUUUUUCAACUUUUCCUAUUUCAAAUUAUACAAUUUCCUGCAACGUAACAGAUGUUCUUUUCAAAGACCAGGGUACAAUAACGUUAAUAUUUUUUUUUUACUAAAUAGUACAAAUUCAUUGAGAUAAUACAUGAGCAAAUAAAACAAAAAGUGAGUAAAUCGUGUUUCGAAAAACUCGUAUUUCAAACUAGCAAAUAUUCAAAGCUGAAGCGGUGAUCGAAAAUAUGUUUCGAUUUCAUUUUAUUUUUUGUUAAAAUCAUGCUUGGAAGCAUGAAUUCAAUUUCUUUUAUAGUGUAUAAAAACACAUUUUAUUCAUACUUUUGUAUCUGACGUGUUUAUAUAUAAUUUCCAUUUCUUUUUUACCUUAAUUUCUAAAAUCACGCAUGGAUUUUUAUCUAUAAUAGUUUAAAUUGCUUUUUGGCUUAUUUUUUUUUACUGAAAUAUUUAAUGUUCUGGACAAGGUUUCACUGAAUUUGUAGUUGUUGUUGAAACUAUGUUUUGUUUUUCUAAACAAGUUAUUGGAUUUUAAUGUUCUUAAAUAAUUUAUUCAUUGUUAUUUUGUAAAUUUUAAAUUUUACUUAUAAGUUUUUAAUUAUAAAUAAACUGUUGUGUUUAUUUUACUUUACAUGUGUUUCUUAAACAGUGCGAUUCGGUAAUAAAAUAAUUAUAUUAAUUUAAUGUUACUUGAAAAUAUAACAUCAUAAGGUCUUAAUUGAAAAUAAUUGAUAAUAUUGAAAAUGUAUAU